UGGAGCUUUAAACAGCUCUGAGUAAGCUAACAAAGUAAGAUUCUGGUGCUGAAAAGCUGAGGAUGUGACCCUGAUCAUCA
ensembl:misc_RNA